AGGGCGGCCGCCGUCCUCUUGCGCAGGCGCAGUGCUCCUGCUUCCUGGCCGAGGGCGGGCGAGCGGAGCCUGCAUUCGCAGCGAUCGCGAGCGUGUGGUGAUUGCUUCUGUCUGUUGUUUAGAUAUGGAAGCUGAGAGGAUGCACAGAGGCAGCCGGAACCUGGGUCGGGGUCUCGCUCGGUGCUGACUGCCCCCGGGGUCGAGUAGGCGAUGGGGGAGCCCGGCUUCUUCGUCACAGGAGACCGCGCCGGUGGCCGGAGCUGGUGCCUGCGGCGGGUGGGAAUGAGCGCCGGGUGGCUGCUGCUGGAAGAUGGGCGCGAGGUGACUGUAGGACGAGGAUUUGGUGUCACAUACCAACUGGUAUCAAAAAUCUGCCCCCUGAUGAUUUCUCGAAACCACUGUGUUUUGAAGCAGAAUCCUGAGGGCCAGUGGACAAUCAUGGACAACAAGAGUCUAAAUGGUGUUUGGCUGAACAGAGCACGUCUGGAACCUUUAAGGGUCUAUUCCAUUCAUCAGGGGGACUACAUCCAACUUGGAGUGCCUCUGGAAAAUAAGGAGAAUGCCGAGUAUGAAUAUGAAGUUACUGAAGAAGACUGGGAGACAAUAUAUCCUUGUCUUUCCCCAAAGAAUGACCAGAUGAUAGAAAAAAAUAAGGAAUUGAGAACUAAAAGGAAAUUCAGUUUGGAUCAAUUAGGAGGUCCUGGAGCUGAAGGCCCGUCAAAUUUGAAAUCCAAAAUAAAUAAAGUGUCUUAUGAAUCUGGUCAGUCAGUGAAAUCACAGGGGAAAGGUGAAGUGGCCAGUACACCCUCUGAAAAUUUGGAUCCUAAGUUGACUGCCCUUGAGCCAAGUAAGAAGACCACAGGGGCUCCCAUUUACCCUGGCUUCCCCGUAGUCACAGAGGUUCAUCAUGAGCAGAAAGCCUCAAACUCUUCAGCAUCUCAGAGAAGCUUACAGAUGUUUAAGGUGACCAUGUCCAGGAUUCUGAGGCUGAAAAUACAGAUGCAAGAAAAACAUGAAGCCGUUAUGAAUGUGAAAAAGCAGACCCAAAAAGGGAACUCAAAGAAAAUUGUGCGAAUGGAGCAGGAACUGCAGGACUUACAGUCCCAGCUGUGUGCAGAGCAGGCGCAGCAGCAGGCAAGAGUGGAGCAACUAGAGAAGACUUUCCAGGAAGAGGAACGGCAUCUUGAGGGUUUGGAGAUAGCCCAAGGAGAAGAGGACCUGAAGCAACAGCUGGCCCAGGCUCUGGAGGAGCAUUGGGCUCUAAUGGAAGAGCUAAAUCGCAGCAAGAAGGACUUUGAAGCAAUCAUUCAAGCCAAGAACAAAGAAUUAGAGCAGACCAAGGUACUGGAAAGAAGAUGGAAGUUUAGAAUUUGGAAGAGAAGGAGAUGGUGCAAGCACAGAAGGAAGAAGUUCUCAGCCACAUGAAUGAUGUGCUAGAGAAUGAGCUCCAAUGUAUUAUUUGUUCAGAAUACUUCAUUGAGGCUGUCACCUUGAACUGUGCCCACAGUUUCUGCUCCUACUGUAUCAAUGAAUGGAUGAAGCGGAAGAGAGAAUGCCCCAUUUGUCGGAAGGACAUUGAGUCCAAAACGUACUCUUUGGUUCUGGACAAUUGCAUUAAUAAAAUGGUAAAUAAUCUGAGCUCAGAAGUGAAAGAACGACGAAUUGUUCUCAUUAGGGAACGAAAAGCAAAGAGAUUGUUCUGAAGACCAUGCUCUAAGGGCCUUUGAAAGACUGCCAGGCAAUGGGAGCCUGAGAUGGUCUGGAGCAUUCUCUCUAGCCGUGACUCCGCUGCUCUGAAGGUCAACUGAGAAGUCUUGUGGGACAGAGACUGAGUUAGAAAGCCCUCAGUCACUUGCCUUCCACAGUGGCCAGCCCUGCUGCCAUCAUUGGCUGAAGCACCACCAGGAUUCCCGGCACCCAACUGCUUUAGGGUACUUUAUAGACUCUGCCUCACUACAUGUCGAAUGAGUUAUUUGAGUUCUCUUUUGUUUUUUGUUUGUUGUUGUUGUUACUGUUUUGAUACCUCAGAAACACCUCCGUUGACAAUUGUUUUGGAUAGGUUGGGUGUAUCCCGUGGCUGCCUCUGAAGGCGGUGUCUAUUUUGAAUGGAUGGCUUACCUCUUCUUUGUGAAAAUACUGUCUCAUUUCCUGGAAAUAAAAUGUAAAACCUGUCA